UACGUAGGGGGCAAGCGGUGUCCGGAAUCAUUGGGCGUAAAGAGCGUGUAGGCGGUUCGGUAAGUCCGCUGUAAAAGUCCAGGGCUCAACCCUGGAAAGCCGGUGGAAACUGUCGAACUAGAGUCCGGAAGAGGCGAGUGGAAUUCCUGGUGUAGCGGUGAAAUGCGCAGAUAUCAGGAGGAACACCAAUGGCGAAGGCAGCUCGCUGGGACGGUACUGACACUGAGACGCGAAAGCGUGGGGAGCAAACAGG
rnacentral:rRNA from 1 species